AGGUGCCGAGAGUGGGAUCGAUGACUGGGACGAAGUCGUAACAAGGUAGCUGUACCGGAAGGUGCGGCUGGAUCACCUCCUUUCUAAGGAG
rnacentral:rRNA from 1 species